rnacentral:misc_RNA from 1 species
AGGAGCAUACUCUAGCCAUUCAUCAAUCUGACUGGACACAUAUGCAUUCUGUCCAUAAAAAUUAGGAAUGUUGGUGACUCGACCAAUAUAACGUAGAAGCACAGACGUUCCAUGCAACUUCGACCCGUUAAUGAAGAGGAAUGUGGGAGUGGAGGCAGAAGGAAGAGAAGAAUCUACAGGAAAAGUGAUACCAGCAAGCUUGGCGGCCACAAUGACGGGGAAUGGUGGGGUAUCGGCCGGAAAUGACAAAAGCUUAAUAUCCAUAGAUUCUCAACACCAGAAGCAAUCGAAAUCAGACUGAAAUUAAAGAAAAUAUAAAGCGUUUAGGUAGAAGAAGGAAAAUGGUGUAUGGGUAGAGAGAAGGCUGCUGGUGGAGACAGAGGAACAUAGGAAGUGAAAAUAGCAGGUAGCCG